rnacentral:rRNA from 1 species
GCUGCCCGCUUUCUUCUUUCCUAAUACAUGCAAGUCGAGCGAACGGACGAGAAGCUUGCUUCUCUGAUGUUAGCGGCGGACGGGUGAGUAACACGUGGAUAACCUACCUAUAAGACUGGGAUAACUUCGGGAAACCGGAGCUAAUACCGGAUAAUAUUUUGAACCGCAUGGUUCAAAAGUGAAAGACGGUCUUGCUGUCACUUAUAGAUGGAUCCGCGCUGCAUUAGCUAGUUGGUAAGGUAACGGCUUACCAAGGCAACGAUGCAUAGCCGACCUGAGAGGGUGAUCGGCCACACUGGAACUGAGACACGGUCCAGACUCCUACGGGAGGCAGCAGUAGGGAAUCUUCCGCAAUGGGCGAAAGCCUGACGGAGCAACGCCGCGUGAGUGAUGAAGGUCUUCGGAUCGUAAAACUCUGUUAUUAGGGAAGAACAUAUGUGUAAGUAACUGUGCACAUCUUGACGGUACCUAAUCAGAAAGCCACGGCUAACUACGUG